UUCUCUUAGGACGAGAGUUGCAGUGGUUUGGCUCGACACAGAAUUCAUUGGUACCAAUCCCAGCCCUUCUGAGAGCUUGCUGUGUGACUUUUGGUGUGCUAUUAUUCUUUCUCCAGAAUUUGUUUAAAAAGAAUUCAUCGAUUAAGGUGAAGUAAAGAACAAAUCAUGGGACUUUCCCGGUGGCUCAGUGGUUAAGAAUCCGCCUGCCAAUGCAGGGGACACGGGUUCGAGCCCUGGUCCGGGAAGAUCCCACAUGCCGUGGAGCAACUAAGCGCCACAACUACUGAGCCUGCACGCCUAGAGCCCAUGCUCCGUAACAAGAGAAGCCACUGCAACGGAAAGCCCGCGCACCACAACAAAUGGUAGUCCCUGCUCGUCGCAACUAGAGAAAAGCCUGCACGCAGCAACGAAGACCCAACGCAGCCAGAAAUAAAUAAAUAAA